AUCUAGCCCCGAUGGAAACGGCAUCCUUUUGUUUUGCGCGAGGCGGCGGAGCGAAGCGGAGCCGACCGAGCAGCAAAACAAAAGAUACAGUGGACAGCGGGUUACCAA
rnacentral:sRNA from 1 species